rnacentral:lncRNA from 1 species
CACUUGUUUUGUUAUGUUUGCUCCAAUGGAAAAGGAAGCUGUGGGUGGAGACACAUCUGACGGGAGGGAUUUGGAUCCUGCCAGCUCGUCCCUGCAACCCCCUACUCCGGUCCCCUCAAACCUGUCCGUGGCUGGCAGCCCUGUGAUACCUCGCCACAUUCUGCAACAGAAUCCGAGAUAGAGGUAGAAGUGGGGGAGUACGUCGUGGCUGUCAGGGCAGCUUUCUGUAAAAUGCUGCCUGGAGGAGCAUGUGAUUCCAGACCCUCCUCUCUGCAACGAAAGUGAGGUUGACACCUGCAGGCCUGGGGCCUCCUGGCCCACUGAGCAGAACACACAGAAGCUGGGCCCACCCCUGCCCUCCCCACAAAGGGUCACGGGAGCCACCGCCUGACUUUGAAGCCCACUGACUUGCGGCUGACAAGAGAAAAGGCACUGAGGGCUCGCCACAACCCCCUGUGUAUUUAUCUUACAGAAUGUGCCCCUGUGAUCAUGUGAAAGCAUCAGCCAGGGGUCCAAGAACUUCCCUCUGGAGCCUCACACUCCCAGCGUGGCACCCAGCAGGGAACAGAUUCUCUCCAAACCUUUGUGAAUGAAUGAAGGAUGACGUCACUAGAAUCCAUCCCUGUUUUAUUUUUUAUUUUUAUUUUUUGAGACAGAGUCUCGCUCUGUUGUUGCCCAGGCUGGAGUGCGGUGGCACAAUCUCAGCUCACUACAACCUCCGCCUCCCCGGUUCAAGUGAUUCUCCUGCCUCAACCUCCUGAGUAGCUGGGAUUACAGGCACCCAUCACCACGCCUGGCUAAUUUUUGUGUGUGUUUAGUACAGACGGGGUUUCACCACGUUGGCCAGACUGGUCUUGAACUCCUGACCUCAGGUGAUCCGCCUGCCUCGGCCUCCCAAAGUGUUGGGAUUACAGGCGUGAGCCACCACGCCCAUGCCCAUCCCCAUUUUAUAGACAAGGAUACCAAGGCUCAGAGAGGGGAAGCCACUUGCCAAGGACGCACAGGAGGACACCAGUGAGCAGGACCUCUGGUCUGUCUGGGAGGCCACUGGGCCUCUUCCCAGAGUCUCUGCUUGGUGAGCCAGGAUUUUACACCCGCCUUGGGCCCAGUGGGCUGAGAGGACAUGGGCUGGGGUGUCGGAAGCUGCAGAGCUGAUCCCUCCUGCUUGGCUGGAGGCUUGCAGACCCGGCAGGCAGGCUCGGGAGGCAGCGGGCGACUUGAAAAUGCACUCCCUACCACAGGCUCAAGAGUGACGGCGCCUGUCAGGGACCGGGAGGCAGGGCCUGUCUUUUCCUGCUGUUUUAUUGCCUUCAAAGUCUGGACCAAGUGGUUUCUGGAUGGAGUCACGGUAACCUCACGUCUAUUCAAGCAAUUCGUUCAUUGUUUCAUUUAGUAAAAUACCCACAAAACAAGGAAGAACACCUUGGCGGUGCCUCUGAUCCCCCCAUUUGUCUGCAAAUCGGAAAAGCAUGAUUCCAUCGAUCUCCUGUUUAUUGAGCGCCUACUACAUGCUAGGUCGGAUGGUCUAGUUCAACCCCUCGCAACGCCACAGCUGCUGUCUGUUUCGUAUCUUGUAUUUUUCGCUUGACAGUUUAUCAUGUGCAUUUUCUCGGGUACCAAAGGCCCUUGUAAGAGAUGGUGUCUGGAGAAUGGGUAUCUCAGGGGCCUACCACCUGGCUUACCUCCUCCCAAAUCAGGGUUCCUCUGCACCACCUCCUCUCUGUCCAGCUCCUCCUUCAGGGCCUGGCUCAAUUCUACCUCCUCCACAAAGCCCUCCAUUCCCUCCCCUCCUGGUCAGUGUUGUCUCUUUUGCAGCCACUAGCUCUCUGCCUUGCCUCACCCGGGUCUCCUAUCCCUCUCCUUCUCUCUCAUGGAGUGAUGCCUUUUUUCUUCCUCUACACACAUCAGGUCUGAGCUCAAAGUCACCUUGUCAAAGGCCCUCCCAGGACCACCCUGUGUGAUUAUCCUGUGGGCUUGUUCCUGUGUUUGUCCCUGAGCCCACAGGGUCUGGUGGUUCAGUAGAAGGACUCCUGCAGAAGGUGCUGGAUAAACACUGGAAGAUCUAGAAAUAAAAAUAAAAGAAAGACUGGGCGCGGUGGCUCAGGCCUGUAAUCCCAACACUUUGGGAGGCCGAGGUGGGCGGAUCCCCUGAGGUCAGGAGUUCGAGACUAACCUGGCCAACAUGGCGAAACCCCAUCUCUACUAAAAAUACAAAAAUUAGCCAGGCAUGGUGGCAUGUGCCUGUAAUCCCAGCUACUCAGGAGGCUGAGGCAGGAGAAUCGCUUGAACCCGGGAGGCAGAGGUUGUAGUGAGCUGAGAUCGCGCCACCGCACUCUAGCCUGGGCGAAAGAGUGAGACUGUAUCCCAAAAAUAAUAAAAUAAAAUAAAAUAAAAUAAAAUAAAAUAAAAUAAAAUAAAAUAAAAUAAAAUAAAGCACACUCAGUUAAAUAUGAAUGUCAGAUAAGUACCAAAUAACUUGUGAGUAUAAAUGUAUCCCAAAUAUGGAAUGGAAUACACAUAGUAAACAUUUUUUUUUAUUAUCUCAAAUUCAAAUGACACUCAGCAUCUUGAAUUUAAUCUGACAACUCCACCUCCUCCUACCCUCUUUGCCCCUUGUCAGGCAAGCUCAAUAGCUAGGCCGAGAGCUGCUGAGGGCGGGGACCUUGUCUGUCUAGGCCACUGCUGUAUGCGUGCCUGGCCCUCAGCAGGGAACCUGACAUGAAGCACACGCUGGAUAAAUAAAUACCUGUUGCUGGAGCGAGUGAUGGGUUCCCAGCCCUCACUGGGGAAUCGAGGGGACUCCACCUCAGCCCAGCCAGAUGGAAUCGUCGGGAACAGAGUGCACCUUAAUUUCUGCGAAGACCAAUGCAAAUUAGAAGAAGACUGAGAUGCAGGCUGUUUGAUCCAAGAGAUGCUUUUUAAUUAUUGUAAAACAGCUGUGACUUACUGAGCACCAACUGUGUACCCGGCCUCACACUGUUCUCAUACACAACAGCUCCACGGGGAAGGCAUUCUCACCGAGAUUCAGAGAGGGGCAGACCUGGCCUCGGGUCGCACAGCUGGGAACCGGACACCGGGCUCUCUCCAGUCAGCUCGGGUGCUGCUGGCCCCAGCACCUCCCCCAUGGCGUGGACCAGGGCCUCCGAGGCUGCUUUAAAGAAGGUUCUUUGAGAACGGCGCAUGUACCGUGUGGACACUCGUGUGCGCCCCUGAAGUUUUUGAGCCAGCCACCCUGUCAUCAAUCUUGGUUAUGCAGUUCAUUUAUUCAGUAGACCCCAGGUUCCCAUCCACGUUUGGUGCACAGGAGAACUCCCCUGCUCAGGAAUUCUGAAUUAAGGAGGCUUUGAAUGAACGAGGCUCUACUGAAUUUAAAUUCCAGAUGGGGCAGGGAGGGGCUGGGUACUGGUGAGCGGCACAGACUGGGCAGGUAGAUGCGGCAGGAGUUCGAAUCCAGCCCCUACCGUUUCUCAGAUCUGUGACUUUGGAAAAAUCACUUUCUCUGGCCCUCAAUUUUGCCAUCUCUAAAGAGGGGGCUGAAUGAAUUCAGACACCCCAAGGCCCCACAAAGUGCUAACGACUGAGAUACGCUGGGGUUGGAGGUGAUUGGGAACAGGUUACGGUCCUGCUUUCCCUGGGGGAACCUGGCCCUGUGUCCGAGGUGCCCGUGGCAUCUCUGCUGGUUGCCCUGGUUUCUGACUCACCCCAGGGAGCUGCCGGGCAGGGGAAACUACCCUCCUGGCCUCCUGAGACCUGCCUUCCAGGCUGCAGGCCUGCUGUCGGGGCUGCUCUGUGUGUGUGUGUGUGUGUGUGUGUGUGUGUGUGUGUGUGUGUGUGUGUGAUGAGGCAUGGGCUGCGCUCUGCACAGAGGUGGGGGUGAGGGUGGGCUCACAUAUUUUAAGUUCAUCACCUGGCUGGGGAAGUGGCCACCCUUGCUCCAGAAAGGUGGCUCUAUGUUCCCAAAUUGUCAUCACUGUCCCUCACAUGUGCUGGAAUAACAUUCAAACUCCCCCAGGCUCCCAAGGCCCCAUAAACUGGCUCCUGCCCGAGACGCUCGCUUCUGCCUUACCCCAGCCCUGUGGUCACCCGCAAAUACUCCAAGCCCUUUCCCUCCUUACAGGCUUUGGCCUGGGCUGCGCUGGCCAACAGAACUCCCUCUCCCCUCCGCUGCAUCCCUCUCUUGCUCUGCCUUCUCCAGGAGGCCUUUGUGAACGUUCUGUGGACAUGGGCUCUCCAUGAGUCUCUCAGCUCGUGUUUGCUUCCCCCUGAGCCAGGGUAGAGGCUCCUGCACGCUGAGUCCUUAUCUGUGUUGCGCCGACCCCAGUGCCUAGGCAGGGCCUGGGCCCCAGGGCCCCUCUGGAUCUGUUGAAAGAAGAGGUCAGAGGGCUGUGUCAUCUAAACCCCGUUUGCAUUGAGAGAGUCAUUCUUACUGCCACAUAUCCAUGCAUUCAUUUGUUCAUUCAACAGAAAGCACCAGGCCCUGGGCGAUUGAGGGUUGAAAGAGACACUGGCCCCUGCCCUUGUGAAUCCCUUUCCAGCCAGGUGUGUCAGGGGCGCUGGGCGGGUGAGGCCGGCACUGAGCAGGUGAGACCCAAAAACAAACACCACCUGGCGAUUUCUCUGUUUUCUCCCACACAGUCCCCCUUUUUGGAUGUUAAGAGAUUAAUAUAUGCAAAUACCCUUUUCCUAUGGUGGUUUUAGCCUUGCACUCUGUGGAUUAAGUUACUUGAUUUAAAUACAUCUUCCCCCCACCAACAUAUACAUGUAUAAAUCCUAAACACUAAAUAAAAUCCCCUCAUUUCCCGUGUGCUGCGGAGCUUCUAAUCCCAAGUCCUGUGGGCAUUUCAGCAGUUAAGAUGGUUCAUGGGGGUUGUGGAGAUUUUAUUUGGAAUAUCAAAUACCUGUCCCUUAAUGGAGUUCGCUAAUACCAGCCAGAGGGGGCCAAGGGAGAAGCUGGAGCUGGAGAGGUGGUGGGAGGAGCUUCUGGAAGGAAAGAGGCCUGUUACCAAGUGAGGAAGGGUUUGGACCGGAUGAGGGUGGUUGCAUAGCCAGACUGGAGGGGACACCUGGGUUUGGACGCAUCAGAGGGCUGGGCAGGACUGGGGGUUCAUCAGAAACAAUCAAGGAGACUGGGUGUGGUGGCUCACACCUGUAAUCCCAGCCCUUUGGGAGGCUGGAGCAGGAGGAUCACUUCAGCCCUGGAGUUUGAGACCAGCCUGGGCUGCACAGUGAAAGCCUGUUUCUAGGAAAAGUAAAAAUGCAAAAAUGAGCUGGGCAUGGUGGUGUGCACCUGUCGUCCCAGCUACUCGGGAGGCUGAGGUACGAGGAUUGCCUGAGCCUGGUAGGUAGAGGCUGCAGUGAGCUGUGAUUGCACCACUCCACUCCGGCCUGGGAGACAGCACGAGACUCUGUCUAAAAAAAAAGAAAGAAAGAAAGAGGAGGAAGCAAGGAAGGAAGGAGAAAGGGAGGAAAGAAAAGAAGAGAAAGAAAAAAAGAAAGAAAGAAGGAAGAAAGAAAGAGAGAGAAAGAAAGAAAACUAUCAAGGAGUGUGUUUGGGGACAAAUGUGAAUCCCGCCAAACUUGGACCUCAGCCUCCUGGCCAAGCGGGAGGGCUCCGGAACCCGAGGAUCACCUGGCAGGUCACCUGCACUUCUGCAGUCGAGGGACAGAGCCUAGGGCUGGCCUUUGAGCACCUGAGUAGCAGGUGCAUGGUUGAGAUUCGCUCACCCUCCCCUGAAACUGGAUGGCCCAGGAACGCCCCCAUGCUGUGACUGGCACCCUCUGGAAUCCCCUUUCUUGCCCCAGGAAGAGUGCCCCUCCUUGGAAUGUUGGCACAGAGGCCACCUUUUGCAUAAGUGUACCCGGAGCAAGCCCAGCUCCGCGCCGCACUCCCGCCCCUUACUGGCCCCCCGCCUUUUUCCGUGGGCACCAGGCUCCCGCCAGCAAACGUGAUGAUUUACUUUCUGUGUUCUGUUCUGCUUCCUGUCUUGUCCCCCACCUACUCCCACCCAGACCCGUCACCUGAGUGUCAGCUCCUUGAGGCCAGGGUCUGGUUCUGCUCUGUUCACUGAUGCGUCCCCAGGGCCUGGUCUAGGCGCGGCAUGCAGUGGACGCUCAGGAAAUAAUUUUGUUGACUGCGUGAACUCCACACAUAUGGCCGGAAUCCCUCCCCACCCCUAGCCAGGCUCUGGCCGGGAGCUGGCACACACAGGGAAUUACAGUCUGUGGACCCAGUAAACCACCAAAGACCCAAGACAAUCUGGCAAGUCCUUACUGCAUACUUGUCAGACCGAGUCCUGGAUUCCAGGGCCUGUGGAAAGGUGUGAGGAAGACCCAGCCUGGUGGGAGGGGGGCCCCCAGCACCUACUCUCUGCCCCUCCUGCCUCACCCCUGCUUCACCGAAGUCCUGCCCCGGGAGGUGGCACAGGAACAGAGGUGUGAGUGAAGUCAGGGAGCUGGUCUUGAGAAGAUCUGGGACACAGCUUCCGUUGGUAUCCUAUUGAAUCAAAAUGCCGGCCCCCUGGGCUUGCAGUUUGCUUGUGUGUCUCUUUCCAUCCGUUCACUCUCAGUCUAUCUGUGUUUCUGUAUGUAAGUGAGGUGGCUCAUGCCUGUAAUCCCAGCACUUUGGGAGGCUGAGGAUCACUUGAGGUCAGGAGUUCGAGACCACACUGGUUAACAUGGUGAAACCCCAUCUCUGCUAAAAAUACAAAAAUUAGCCGGGUGUGGUGGUGCACGCCUGUAAUCCCAGCUACUCAGGAGGCUGAGGAGGGAGGAUUGCUUGAACCCAGGAGGUGGAGGUUGCGGAGAGUUGGGAAUGCCCCACUGCCUGGGUGACACAGUGAGACCCUGUCUUAAAUAAAUAAAUAAAUAAAGUGCAAGUCCGCAUUUGGUAUCUCUGUAUCUCCUUUCCUACCCUCUUUGCAUUAUUAUUAUUAUUAUUUAACGAUUGCUUAAAUGAUUGUAAGACAUACCCCUAAGCUUCCACAGUUAACUUAGAGUUAACAUGGGACCACUUUGCAUCAAAUGUGGGAGCCUGCAACAGCACAGACCCAUCGGCUGCUCC